rnacentral:rRNA from 1 species
AUUGAACGCUGGCGGCAGGCCUAACACAUGCAAGUCGAACGAGUGGCGGACGGGUGAGUAAUGUCUGGGAAACUGCCUGGUGGAGGGGGCUAACUACUGGAAACGGUAGCUAAUACCGCAUACCAUCAGAUGUGCCCAGAUGGGAUUAGCUAGUUGGUGGUGUAACGGCUAACCAAGGCGACAAUCCCGAGCUGGUCUGAGAGGAUUACAAGCCAAACUGGAGCUGAGACACGGUCCCGACUCCUACGGGAGGCAGCAGUGGGGAAUAUUGCACAAUGUGCGCAAGCCUGAUGCAGCCAUGCAGCGUGUAUGAAGAAGGCCUUCGGGUUGUAAAGUACUUUCAGCGGGGAGGCGUUACCCGCAGAAGAAGCACCGGCUAACUCCGUGCCAGCAGCCGCGGUAAUAC